AUACGGGGGGAGCAAGCGUUGUCCGGAAUCACUAGGCGUAAAGGGCAAGUAGGCGGAUAUAUAAGUCAGUUGUUAAAUUCAUGGGCUCAACCGAUGUUCGGCAGUUGAUACUGUAUAUCUAGAGUAAGCUGGGGGAAGACGGAGUUCCUGGUGUAGCGGUGGAAUGCGCAGAUAUCAGGAAGAACACCGGUGGCGAAGGCGGUCUUCUACGCCCUUACUGACGCUCAAUUGCGAAGGUGUGGGUAUCAAACAGGAUUAGAAACCCCUGUAGUCC
rnacentral:rRNA from 1 species